rnacentral:lncRNA from 1 species
AUUGCGCGCGCCGGAAGUACCUACCUGGGAUAACGGCGGCGAGCGGACGGCUGCAUUUACGGGGUCUCCCGGAGGGCCAGAGUCGGAAAUUGUUGAAAACGUUAAAUUUGAUUCCUAAAAGGACUCAAUGGCUUACAGAAGAGACGAAAUGUGGUCUGAGGGACGAUAUGAAUAUGAAAGAAUUCCGAGAGAACGAGCACCUCCUCGAAGUCAUCCCAGUGAUGUAAAGCCAGAAAACAAGCAGUAACUGCUAUGCCUGACAAAACUGUUGCUGCACACAUCUGUACUCGUCAAUCAACAAAACCUGAUGCAAAAAACAGAAAAGGGGUGAUGUAGGAGAUGGUCAGGUUGGUAGGAGAAGCUAUAAGGAAAGACGCAAUUGGAAGGUCGGGAGGUUUUCCAAAGCUUCAGGAGAGAAUAAAGCUGAAGGCAGCUUUAUUAAUUAAUUCUCUUACCCUGAGGCUGAGGGCGAACAGUAGGUAGCAAGGGAGUGUAAAGGAAUUUAUCUAGAUAAGUUUGUUUACUUAUGCCCUCCGGAAAUCAUGCAAGACUGCUCCCUGCAAAGGGGGGCGACAAUGUUCAUUACUCACAAAUUGUGUUGGCUUCAGGCCUUUGGUAUUCUGUCUCUACUGAAUAAAUACAAAUGGUUCCAGCCUAUCAGGACUGCACUCUCUUCUCGGCUGCACUAAAGCUGGCACUCCCCCAGCCGUUCUCAUGCAAAAUACCUGUGUCAGAAUACUCCUUUCAUCCAUCACUCAGCCAGAGUCUUCAGGACAGACUCCGCAUGGGACUUGUCCAAAAAAACUCUAAUCAAAAGAGGAAAAUUUUGGAAUAUGCCAGGAAUAGUGGAAUUUUAUUUUUUAAAUUUUUUUAUAGGCCCAUAUGCUCUAUCUCAAGAAACAAGAUGAUUGUAACAUGUCCAUGAUUAAACUAUUGGCAGAUUAUUGCUGUGUUAAUCUCUGUAGUCUAAUGAGUUCUUUGUUCUGUUCUGCUGCCUUUUACGUUUUCUUGUCCUUUCAAAAGUGUUCUUGAAAGAAACAAAGCGAAUAGGCAGUUAGCACAGCACAGCUACCCCUUACCAAGCAGUCUAUGGAAACAACCCCUCAUCCAAAUCAUGGGUUAGUUAAGAAUCUAACUGGGGCAAUUAAGAUGAAUUCCACUCACUUCCUGGUCACUUCAGCAGCCCAGCGGCAUUGAGCCAAAAUAUACAAUUCUGUGUUAUUAGUGAGGAAACUUUAAAACUCAUGUUUGUUAUUACUUACUACCCAAUUUCAUUAUCCUCCCUUCCUCUUUCCAUUUCUAUUCUCUCUCACUUGAAUUCUGGCAUUAUUUUUAGUGGCCUCUACUGAUAAUACCUACCCUAGAGUACAUAAAAAUUAUAUUAAAAGAGGAAGUAGCAGUAUGCAUAAUUUUAACAGAUUCUAUAAUGGGUGCCUCAAAAUAUGUAUUGUGCCAUUCCGCAAAUUUAAAAGCUAAUUGAGGACAAUUUUUUUUUAAUUUCCUAAAUGAGACCACCUUGGAUUUUUAUUUUUGCCAUUUAGAUGUUUAUACUUAUUUAGCUUUUAUAAAACAUAAGCCAAGCUAAAUCCCACAUAACAACUCUGGUAUUCUUCCCUCAUAUGAGCAGUGAUUUUAUUUGUUACCCACCUUAGAUAGACUAAGAAAGUUCUAGUCUUGUUUCUCCUUCUCCCCGCUUCCCUGGGGUUUUUCCUUACCAUAAGUAUUCUGGUCCGAGGGUUCAGUUCCUUUAGUCAAGAUGUCACAAGUUUAAAAACAAAACUUGAGAAACUACCAAAGGCUCAGGAGUUGUCCACUUUGUUGAAAUCCAUUAAAUUAGAGAAGUCUCACUAACAGAUGUAUUUAAAUAUAGGUACAACAAAUAAUUUCUUUUUCUCCCCUUCCCCAAAUUACAGUCAGCAUUUAAAGCUGUUUAUGGCUUGCCAUCAGCAUUAUUCUGGUAGGCUUGUUAGUGUUAAAAUCUAUUUGAUUUUUUUUUUUUUUUUUUGCCUCUUAAAGUCUAAUUUUAGGAUGGAUGAAUUCAGAUGUUUACCAGAGUGUGUAUUUUACAUAAUGUUCUUGAUUAAAAAGACUUGUUUGUAAAUUAUCCGUUGUUUUUGCAUAUGCCCAGUUGAUGUGAUAAAAUUUUCAUUGUCUUGCCAUAUAAAGCCUUGGUUAUCAACAGGUGGAAUGUAGAUAUUGUAAAGCUUUUUGUGAAUUAAAAGUGCAAAAUAAAGCAACCACAUUUAAGU